rnacentral:rRNA from 1 species
UACGUAGGGUGCAAGCGUUGUCCGGAAUUAUUGGGCGUAAAGAGCUCGUAGGCGGUUUGUCGCGUCUGCUGUGAAAACCCGAAGCUCAACCUCGGGCCUGCAGUGGGUACGGGCAGACUAGAGUGCGGUAGGGGAGAUUGGAAUUCCUGGUGUAGCGGUGGAAUGCGCAGAUAUCAGGAGGAACACCAAUGGCGAAGGCAGAUCUCUGGGCCGUAACUGACGCUGAGGAGCGAAAGCAUGGGGAGCGAACAGG